rnacentral:sRNA from 1 species
GUCACUCAUCCCCGGCCUGAAGGCCGAGGCAUUGACCGUUGAGGCCAGUGUCUGAGUGACCCGAAGACCCGCAAAACGGGUAAACGAUUUGAAGUUGCACACCGACGAAUGCCUUGCCAGUUUGUCGCUCUGUGGUUCAAAACGAACGAAGCCGCCGGGAAACAGCCCCCAUUUUGAGACGAACCGACACUUCAAUUCAAGGCGAAAUUUACAUGGCGCCUGCGCGC